GAUGAACGCUGGCGGCGUGCCUAAUACAUGCAAGUCGAGCGAACGGACGAGAAGCUUGCUUCUCUGAUGUUAGCGGCGGACGGGUGAGUAACACGUGGAUAACCUACCUAUAAGACUGGGAUAACUUCGGGAAACCGGAGCUAAUACCGGAUGAUAUUUUGAACCGCAUGGUUCAAAAGUGAAAGACGGUCUUGCUGUCACUUAUAGAUGGAUCCGCGCUGCAUUAGCUAGUUGGUAAGGUAACGGCUUACCAAGGCAACGAUGCAUAGCCGACCUGAGAGGGUGAUCGGCCACACUGGAACUGAGACAAGGUCCAGACUCCUACGGGAGGCAGCAGUAGGGAAUCUUCCGCAAUGGGCGAAAGCCUGACGGAGCAACGCCGCGUGAGUGAUGAAGGUCUUCGGAUCGUAAAACUCUGUUAUUAGGGAAGAACAUAUGUGUAAGUAACUGUGCACAUCUUGACGGUACCUAAUCAGAAAGCCACGGCUAACUACGUG
rnacentral:rRNA from 1 species